CGGGGCGUGGCGCAGUCUGGUAGCGCGCCUCGUUCGGGACGAGGAGGCCGUGGGUUCGAAUCCCGCCGCCCCGACCA
rnacentral:tRNA from 2 species